UGCCGCGUGUGUGAAGAAGGCCUUCGGGUUGUAAAGCACUUUUGUCCGGAAAGAAAUGGCGCUGGUUAAUACCUGGCGUCGAUGACGGUACCGGAAGAAUAAGCACCGGCUAACUACGUGCCAGCAGCCGCGGUAAUACGUAGGGUGCGAGCGUUAAUCGGAAUUACUGGGCGUAAAGCGUGCGCAGGCGGUUUUGUAAGACAGGCGUGAAAUCCCCGGGCUUAACCUGGGAAUUGCGCUUGUGACUGCAAGGCUAGAGUGCGUCAGAGGGGGGUAGAAUUCCACGUGUAGCAGUGAAAUGCGUAGAGAUGUGGAGGAAUACCGAUGGCGAAGGCAGCCCCCUGGGACGUGACUGACGCUCAUGCACGAAAGCGUGGGGAGCAAACAGGAUUAGAUACCCUGGUAGUCCACGCCCUAAACGAUGUCAACUAGUUGUUGGGGAUUCAUUUCCUCAGUAACGUAGCUAACGCGUGAAGUUGACCGCCUGGGGAGUACGGUCGCAAGAUUAAAACUCAAAGGAAUUGACGGGGACCCGCACAAGCGGUGGAUGAUGUGGAUUAAUUCGAUGCAACGCGAAAAACCUUACCUACCCUUGACAUGCCACUAACGAAGCAGAGA
rnacentral:rRNA from 1 species